AGAGGUUUUGUGGGUAACUCCGCCUCCUCCUACAUGACAAUUUCUAGAAACUAUUAAAUAUCAUAUUAAUACACUUCUCUGGGAAAAAGAAAAAAUAUUUGGGUUGGCAUAGCACUCUGCUAGGAAGGCUGGCUCAUGCGUCCCAGGUGAUGAAACCAGACAAAUAAUAAAAUGAGGAGAGGAGAAGCAAAGAGAAAUAUGUUUCUUUCAUCUACUCUGACUUUCCACCUUAUUGUUGGAAAAGCAUGGAAAAAGUAUAUAAUUUUUUUACAUGGACUUUCCAAAUUCUUCUCAGUGAAGGCUAUUGUUUGCUGUUGCAAAUAAUCUUCUAAUACAUGAUCCUGUCUGGACUACAAAAAGAACAAUGUUGGCUGCUUCUCUGCUGUGUAUCUACUUCUUUCAAUCUUUGUCUUCAUUCUGCACCUACUGCCUCCAUGAGUGUGAGCUGAACCAUCUUGACCAUGGUGCAACCAGCAUCCAGCACCAUUUCUGCUACAUCCUUUCCACCAGCAGCAGAAUCGAGUCCACGGGAGUUUAGACUUCUGGGUGAUAACUCAGCAUAUGCCAAUAAGAGCAGCCAAGUUUACAGGAUAUACCAGAAUAGGAGAAAAAAAAAAGCUCACAAAGAUAUCUGCAAUUGACCAUCUCUGCAAACAACUCUACAGGGAAAAAAUACUGUGCUUUGUAUUAGGAAUUACUACAGAUAUUUUUAUUAGGAGUUUUCUACAAUGUAGAUCCCUUUAUUUAUGAGACAAAAAUGAUACAAACUCUUUGCACAUUCCUUGAUUUCAUGAGGGCCACAAUGGUCAACCGAUUAAUAUUUUUCUUUUAAUUGCUAGUUGAUCUCCUCCUUAAUUACCGAAGUUAUGAGCAGGGUACCAAAUCAUGUAAUGUAAGAUAUUUCCAUACAGCAGACGUUCUUUCUUUAAUAGCGUUUUUAUUGUAUUCAGUCUGCAGAAUAUAAUUUUUCAGCAAUGAAAAGCAGCUACAGAAUCUUAAAUUGUAUAGUUUUCAUUUCCUUAAAAAAUAUUGGAAGGAGUGUUACUUCAGUAAGUUAGUAUAGGUACCGUGACCUAUGUAAAUGAUUUAGGAUUUAAUAGGUUUGACAUUGGAAGGAGGGAAAAUGUACACAAUUGCCUCCGUCUCACCAAUGAAAAAGCUGAAGGGUCUGCACACAUCACCCCUGGCCGCUGCUGUGGGUCAGCACUGCUGCCAGACCAGACAAGAGAGCACUGACUCCUUUGUCUUGCUGAGAGUCCAAAUUUGGGGAAAACCAAAGGGAGCAAUCCCCCAAGAACAUAAACCGCGGUGUAAUUUUCUUUCCUGCCUGUUUAUGACUUGAAUAGAAUUAAAAAGUGCUCUAAGUUCCCCACUUUUCCAAUGUACUUUGUGGAAAGGGCUUUAAUACAAGUGGAGCUAUCUGCUUUAGACCAGAGGGAAGGAAAUAUUUUGGGGCCACAGUGCAAUGCUAAUUUUCCUUGCCAAUCUUUCACCACUGGAGUGGGGUUCUGGUUGGGUCACCGGAAAAUAAACUUGUUUCAAUAGCUUUUCUGCCCAGAUAAGAUCCAAAAGGAGGUAUUUGUGCCAAAUAUCACAGAAAGAUUUGAACAAUAAUGGGCUGCACCGAGCGACAUUUAGAUUAGGUUAUUAAACGAGGGGCAGAGGUUACGUGUGCAUAACACUUUUGCAAGCACUUGGGAAUUUUUUGAACCGAUUUCUGCUGAUUCUUAUCAUAGAGUCGUAGAAUCAAAGAAUCGUAGAAUGGCCUGGUUUGAAAAGGACAACAGUGAUCAUCCACUUCCAACCCCCUGCUAUGUGCAGGGUCACCAACCAGCAGACCAGGCUGCCCAGAGCCACAUCCAGCCUGGCCUUGAAUGCCUGCAGGGAUGGGGCAUCCACAGCCUCCUUGGGCAACCUGUUCAGUGCGUCACCACCCUCUGGGUGAAAAACUUCCUCCUAAAUUCUUCCUGAAUCAAUGACUUUGGUGGGAGGUUUUCUCACAUAAAAGCUCCAGAAUUUGGUCCUAGGUUGAACCGUUUGGGCAGCACCAGAGGAACUAAGAUGAUUGUCCCACCGCUGCUGCGCCAGGCUGACUCCCAGCACCCCAGGAAAAUCUCCUUGGAAAAUCCCAGUGAUGGUUUAUCUGAAAUUAAUUUGCCCACACUGUUAAGUCAAUUACCCAAAGGAGCAGAGACUCGAUUAAAAAUCUAUUUAGUUCAAUAGGAAACAGUAUACAUGGGAUCAAUUUUUUUCUCUCCUUGAGUGCAAAAAAUCUUGUUGUAUCCCUGUAUAGAUGAUAAAGGUAGUGCACUACCCACUCCUGCACAAGCAUGACUGAGCAGGCAGAGGUCUGUGUCACCGGCACCGGAGAGAGACGACACGAGGGACGUGGCAGACAAGUGGGGUCUGUCCCCCGCUGGCACCUGGAUGCUGACCCAUCCCGCCAGGAGGUCGCUGCACCCGUCUCACUCAGAGAAACUCUCCUGUUGUCAAGCCUACAGCAAACUGUGUCCAGACAGAUUGGUGUUCUGCUCAAAGGAGCCCGCAUGAAUCAUGUAUUAGUUCAUUUAAAAGCACUUUGUAGACAAACAUGCUCACUCUAUCAGCAGGCACGGGGAUGCAAAUACUUCACUGGGUGUAUAUGAGCCUUGACAGGACAUCUGUGAUGCAUGGGAUUGAGAAACAGCUCGCUCCAGAAAGAUCAGGCAAUAACGAGCAAAAAGGCUCACCGUAUUUUGUUCUUUUUAUUUUUUUUCUGCAAGAUGAAAAUUUAACUUUGCCAUCGUGUUGGAAGCAGAGUAAACACUAUCAACAGAAAGCCAGCAGCAGGGAGAGGUAAAUGAUUUACAAGAUAUUCUUCAAUCAUUUAGCAGGAAGGCAGAAGGUUUUGGUUGAGGGUCCCGAAUACUCUUGCAGAAGGCAACAACCCCCCAGCAGUGUCUAUGCUGAUACAGCUGCUGUGCAGGAUCGUCCUUCAGAGGAAACUGCAGAGAUCAGUUCUGGAUUGAGAUUGCGUCCCCAGCCUUGGAUCCUUUAACGUCCCAGAAGGCACACAUGAAAAAAGAAAAAUCCCCCUACUUACACUGUGAAGAGGUGCUAACAGCUUUAAAGAAUUACCCACCAAAUAUUAGGUGCAAUUUAAAACUACAUUUAAAGCAGCACGGGUAGUUUAAAAGUCUACGUGGCCGGCUAAAAGUCAGAGAGAGAAAAUUGCUUGAACACGUGUUGGAUGAAUUUCUUUCUGCGUGGGAGAUAUCGCACCAGUGGGGUAAUAUACCCUCCUUUUUCAAAAAAAAGAGGCAGAUCCUUUAUCUGGUCUUUUGCAUGCUGUGUGAUUCCAAACCUGGGCAAAAGCCUUCAGCUCACUUCCAUUUACUACUCACAGAACACAACUCUGCUAUCUAAAAAUCGUGGAAGAUUAUUUAUAGUGAAAGACAACCUUAGGCUAAACUAUUAAGUGAGGAUAAUGGAUAUGAGCCACCUAAGGCGUGUGGAGGGCUCCUUAAUGAAUUACUGGGUAAAACAAAGUCAGAUGCGCUCAGGUAGCGUCCAGUUCAAGCAGUGUGCUGUUAGAGGGCCAAGGAAGGCUCACCUCAUGUCAAGACCUGGAAACUGCACCACAGAGUGUUCCAGGCAUUGCCCUACACCCACUUCGAGGUCUCUUCAAGGGCUGCUCAGAUCAUCCUCUACAAUAUUUACUCAGCUUAUUGUAUGCUGUAUCAAUUUAAAGGUGCGCUGUAACUUAUUAGAUAGUUAUUAGCUUCCAUUUUUAGCCCUGAUCUAUUUCAUAGACCCUGAUGCCCCCUAUUUUACGUAAGAAAGGACGUUUUAAUAGAUAUAAUCUAAAUUAGUUGGUAACUCGAUAACUUGUUCCAGUCUGCUUCUCUAAUGAAACCUGCAUUAAUGACCGCCUUCAGUAGGCAAUCUCGAACUUUAAGAAGGCACUUUAAAAUAUUCAUAACAUUUCUGGUGCAGUGUUGUUUGAACUGUAUUUAACAGACAUCUCAAAUGGGCGUUCUGGUGCUUUGCAGGAGUCAUUGUCAAUAAUGACUUUUGCAGCCCUGUCUUUGGGGCCAGGGCAGUAAUUUUGGUCGUGGCCAUGGGGCCAAGUCCCCAUGUGUCCCGUGUACUGGGCCAGAUGUGAGGAAAAAAACAACAAAUUAAGUAAUAGUCCACACUGUAAUUGGGAAUAAACUUCCUGAAGGAUUAGUCAAGGCACAAAUUUCUGAAAGACUUUAAAAAAAUAACUGACAGAAGGUUUACUUGUAACCUAAAAUCUUUCAAAAAGGGAAAAGAGUCAAACUGCAAUAAUUAAUAUUAAAUACUUAGUGUGCAAUUAAUGGUAAUUAUAUAUAUAAAAAAAGCAACCAAUUAAAUGCUGCAACAUAAUGCACCCGAAAUCUUGUAAACGAGUGGCAUUUGUAGCAAAUGCUAAGAGCUCCUUUAAGCCAGUCACUUCUUAAAGGCUUUUGCUUUGGGAAUAAGUGUUACCUUAAUACAUUUACUUAGAUACGAUGAAAGUCAGACUUAACCUUUGCACAGUUGAAAUAACUUUAGCAACAAAACAAUGGAGUAAAUGUGAACCUCUUCUGCAAAUGCAAAUGGUAAUGCAAUCAGUGCUCAGUAAAUAAAUAUAAACACGUUUGAGCCAUAAACUGACCAGUAGCUGUUAUAGGGGUUGUCCUGAUCCCUGCUGAGCAGAGGUGGCAUCCAUAACCAGGUGCUCCUGGGACACUGAAAUGCUAUUCUGCAUCGCCUCUUCUAUCAGCUAUUACAAAAUAAAUCCAAGUCUAACUCAGUGAGAAUUCCCAAGGAGAAGAGAGUGCUAAAUGGGUUUUAAACAGUCCAAACCCCAGUGCAUGAGCAGAAUUUGGGCCAAAAGUCCUGCCAGGGGCCAGUCAGCAGGAGCCCGCUGCCAAGUGCUGAUCCUUAGAUCAACACCUCAUCCGUAAGAGGAGCCCAGUCUGGAAAUCAAAGGAAGCCCACCAGAAAAAAAAAAAAAUGUAAAAAAAAAAAGCCAUAAAUCUGUGUUGGCUCCCAGCCCAGUGUGAUCUUACAGUAUGUUUUUGCUGAUGCUGCUUCUGGGAUGGGACAAAGGAAAUGGAUGACACGGAGAUGUCGGUGGCAGGAAGACCACCAGAUUGCCCGUAAAGAAGCAGCAGGCAGCGGGUGUAUGUGACAGGGCUGUCAUGGGGCUACAAGUUCAUCCCUCCAACUAUUUUUCUGCCUUGUGAGGUUUGCAGCAGCUCAGCUA
ensembl:lncRNA